rnacentral:rRNA from 1 species
AUUGAACGCUGGCGGCAGGCCUAACACAUGCAAGUCGAACGGUAACAGGAAGCAGCUUGCUGCUUUGCUGACGAGUGGCGGACGGGUGAGUAAUGUCUGGGAAGCUGCCUGAUGGAGGGGGAUAACUACUGGAAACGGUAGCUAAUACCGCAUAAUGUCGCAAGACCAAAGAGGGGGACCUUCGGGCCUCUUGCCAUCGGAUGUGCCCAGAUGGGAUUAGCUAGUAGGUGGGGUAAAGGCUCACCUAGGCGACGAUCCCUAGCUGGUCUGAGAGGAUGACCAGCCACACUGGAACUGAGACACGGUCCAGACUCCUACGGGAGGCAGCAGUGGGGAAUAUUGCACAAUGGGCGCAAGCCUGAUGCAGCCAUGCCGCGUGUAUGAAGAAGGCCUUCGGGUUGUAAAGUACUUUCAGCGGGGAGGAAGGGAGUAAAGUUAAUACCUUUGCUCAUUGACGUUACCCGCAGAAGAAGCACCGGCUAACUCCGUG